rnacentral:rRNA from 1 species
GACGAACGCUGGCGGCGUGCUUAACACAUGCAAGUCGAACGCUGAAGCUCAGCUUUUGUUGGGUGGAUGAGUGGCGAACGGGUGAGUAACACGUGAGUAACCUGCCCCCUUCUUUGGGAUAACGCCCGGAAACGGGUGCUAAUACUGGAUAUUCACUGGUCUUCGCAUGGGGGUUGGUGGAAAGGGUUUUUCUGGUGGGGGAUGGGCUCGCGGCCUAUCAGCUUGUUGGUGGGGUGAUGGCCUACCAAGGCUUUGACGGGUAGCCGGCCUGAGAGGGCGACCGGUCACAUUGGGACUGAGAUGCGGCCCAGACGCCUACGGGGUGCAGCAGUGGGGACUAUUGCACAAUGGGCGCAAGCCUGAUGCAGCGACGCCGCGUGAGGGAUGGAGGCCUUCGGGUUGUGAACCUCUUUCGCUCAUGGUCAAGCCGCAACAAUGGUUGUGGUGAGGGUAGUGGGUAAAGAAGCGCCGGCUAACUACGUG